rnacentral:rRNA from 1 species
AUGGGCAUAUCAUGCAAGUCGAGCGAACAGACGAGGAGCUUGCUCCUCUGACGUUAGCGGCGGACGGGUGAGUAACACGUGGAUAACCUACCUAUAAGACUGGGAUAACUUCGGGAAACCGGAGCUAAUACCGGAUAAUAUAUUGAACCGCAUGGUUCAAUAGUGAAAGACGGUUUUGCUGUCACUUAUAGAUGGAUCCGCGCCGCAUUAGCUAGUUGGUAAGGUAACGGCUUACCAAGGCAACGAUGCGUAGCCGACCUGAGAGGGUGAUCGGCCACACUGGAACUGAGACACGGUCCAGACUCCUACGGGAGGCAGCAGUAGGGAAUCUUCCGCAAUGGGCGAAAGCCUGACGGAGCAACGCCGCGUGAGUGAUGAAGGUCUUCGGAUCGUAAAACUCUGUUAUUAGGGAAGAACAAAUGUGUAAGUAACUAUGCACGUCUUGACGGUACCUAAUCAGAAAGCCACGGCUAACUACGUGCCAGCAGCCGCGGUAAUACGUAGGUGGCAAGCGUUAUCCGGAAUUAUUGGGCGUAAAGCGCGCGUAGGCGGUUUUUUAAGUCUGAUGUGAAAGCCCACGGCUCAACCGUGGAGGGUCAUUGGAAACUGGAAAACUUGAGUGCAGAAGAGGAAAGUGGAAUUCCAUGUGUAGCGGUGAAAUGCGCAGAGAUAUGGAGGAACACCAGUGGCGAAGGCGACUUUCUGGUCUGUAACUGACGCUGAUGUGCGAAAGCGUGGGGAUCAAACAGGAUUAGAUACCCUGGUAGUCCACGCCGUAAACGAUGAGUGCUAAGUGUUAGGGGGUUUCCGCCCCUUAGUGCUGCAGCUAACGCAUUAAGCACUCCGCCUGGGGAGUACGACCGCAAGGUUGAAACUCAAAGGAAUUGACGGGGGACCCGCACAAGCGGUGGGAGCAUGUGGUUUAAUUCGAAGCAACGCGAAGAACCUUACCAAUCUUGACAUCCUCUGACCCCUCUAGAGAUAGAGUUUUCCCCUUCGGGGGACAAAUGACAGGGGGUGCAUGGUUGUCCUCACCUCUGUCGAAAUUUUGGGUUAAAUCCCCCACCGAGGGCACCCUUUA